rnacentral:ncRNA from 1 species
CGUGUGGUGUCCGGCUUAGAUUCGGAUAGCGACACGGCCUAUAUAGAGGU